rnacentral:rRNA from 1 species
CAAGGGUUGGGCUGUUCGCCCAUUAAAGUGGUACGCGAGCUGGGUUCAGAACGUCGUGAGACAGUUCGGUCCCUAUCCGUCGCAGGCGUAGGAAAUUUGAGAAGCCCUGUCCUUAGUACGAGAGGACCGGGAUGGACGUACCUCUGGUGUACCAGUUGUCCUGCCAAGGGCAUGGCUGGGUAGCUAUGUACGGAAUGGAUAAG